UACGUAGGGAGCAAGCGUUGUCCGGAAUCAUUGGGCGUAAAGCGCGCGUAGGUGGCUUCAUAAGUCCGUUGUGAAAGUCAAAGGCUCAACCUUUGAAAGCCGAUGGAUACUGUGAAGCUAGAGUACGGAAGAGGCGAGUGGAAUUCCUGGUGUAGCGGUGGAAUGCGCAGAUAUCAGGAGGAACACCAAUAGCGAAGGCAGCUCGCUGGGACGUGACUGACGCUGAGACGCGAAAGCGUGGGGAGCAAACAGG
rnacentral:rRNA from 1 species